GACGAACGCUGGCGGCGUGGAUUAGGCAUGCAAGUCGAACGGUAUCAUCCUUUCGGGGGUGAGAGAGUGGCGAACUGGUGAGUAACACGUAGGUUAUCUACCCUCAAGACGGGGACAACCCAGGGAAACUUGGGCUAAUACCGGAUGUGAGCAACUUUUAGUUGUUUGAAAGGUGGCGUAAGCUGUCGCUUGGGGAUGAGCCUGCGUCCUAUUAGUAGUUGGUGAGGUAACGGCUCACCUAGGCAAUGAUAGGUAGGCGGCCUUAACGGUGGUCGCCCACACUGGGAUUGAGAUACGGCCCAGACUCCUACGGGAGGCAGCAGUCGAGAAUAGUCUACAAUGGUCGGAAGACUGAUAGUGCGACGCCGCGUGAACGAUGAAUCCCUUCGGGGUGUAAAGUUCUUUUAUAUGUGAGCAGUGCUUCUUAUAUUAACAGUAUGGGGAGAGAGAUAUUAGCAUAUGAAUAAGCAACGGCUAACUCCGUGCCAGCAGCCCGGUAAUCUCG
rnacentral:rRNA from 1 species